UGCCCAGUGAGACUGCGUGCCUGAGCGGCCAGCGGUGACAAAUGCUCCUCUCUUUGCCCUGCUUGUACCCACCUGAAUCUUACAAGAAUGGCUCCCGAAUAACAUCUGCUAACCAAAAGGAAGCACAGCUGUUCACUUUUGACCACAGGAGGAAAACCUGAGCACACAGCCGCCAAGUUGAUAGGAUUUGAAUAUGUGAAAAGGGGAGAAACUUCUAUCAAUAUGUGAACUUCAGAUUAGAAGCGUGAAGGCCCAGGAGAGCGGAGUACUCUGGGUGAUGGAACACCAAUCAGUCAAAAAGACCAUGAGAGGAGCCAAGUACUGACCAGAAACAAUGAGCUUUGAUCCACAUCUACUCUCUGCCAUGAGGUCCCACUUCACCACAGGCCAAAAGCAACAGUCACCCAACCAGGGCCUGAAACCUCUGGUUAUAAGCUAAUAAACCUGUUUGCUU